GGAGGGAUACCGAAGUGGUCAAACGGGGCGGACUGUAAAUCCGUUGGCUUCGCCUUCGAAGGUUCAAAUCCUUCUCCCUCCACCA
rnacentral:tRNA from 1 species